CGGUUGAUCCUGCCGGAGGUUACUGCUAUCGGGGUUCGAUUAAGCCAUGCGAGUCAAAUGUUCUUCGUGAACAUGGCGAACUGCUCAGUAACACGUGGAUAACCUACCCUUAGGACCGGAAUAACCCCGGGAAACUGGGGAUAAUACCGGAUAAGCCAUAGACGCUGGAAUGCCCUAUGGUUCAAAGCUCCGGCGCCUAAGGAUGGAUCUGCGGUCUAUCAGGUUGUAGUGGGUGUAACGUACCUACUAGCCGACGACGGAUACGGGUUGUGAGAGCAAGAGCCCGGAGAUGGAUUCUGAGACACGAAUCCAGGCCCUACGGGGUGCAGCAGGCGCGAACACUUUACAAUGCGGGAAACCGCGAUAAGGGAACCCCGAGUGCCAGCAUCAAAUGUUGGCUGUCCAGAUGGUUAAAAAUCAUUUGUUAGCAAGGGCCGGGCAAGACCGGUGCCAGCCGCCGCGGUAACACCGGCGGCCCGAGUGGUAGCCACUAUUAUUGGGUCUAAAGGGUCCGUAGCCGGUUCGAUAAGUCCUCUGGGAAAUCUGGUUGCUUAACAAUCAGACUGCCAAGGGAUACUGUCGAACUUGAGACCGGGAGAGGUAAGAGGUACUUCAGGGGUAGGAGUGAAAUCUUGUAAUCCCUGGGGGACCAUCUGUGGCGAAGGCGUCUUACCAGAACGGGUCUGACGGUGAGGGACGAAAGCUGGGGGCGCAAACCGGAUUAGAUACCCGGGUAGUCCCAGCCGUAAACGAUGCUCGCUAUGUGUC
rnacentral:rRNA from 1 species